rnacentral:rRNA from 1 species
CCUACGGGAGGCAGCAGUAGGGAAUCUUCCGCAAUGGACGAAAGUCUGACGGAGCAACGCCGCGUGAGUGAUGAAGGCUUUCGGGUCGUAAAACUCUGUUGUUAGGGAAGAACAAGUGCUAGUUGAAUAAGCUGGCACCUUGACGGUACCUAACCAGAAAGCCACGGCUAACUACGUGCCAGCAGCCGCGGUAAUACGUAGGUGGCAAGCGUUAUCCGGAAUUAUUGGGCGUAAAGCGCGCGCAGGUGGUUUCUUAAGUCUGAUGUAAAAGGCAGUGGCUCAACCAUUGUGUGCAUUGGAAACUGUUAGACUUGAGUGCAGUAGAGGAGAGUGGAAUUCCAUGUGUAGCGGUGAAAUGCGUAGAUAUAUGGAGGAACACCGGUGGCGAAAGCGGCUCUCUGGACUGUAACUGACACUGAGGCUCGAAAGCGUGGGUAGCAAACAGGAUUAGAUACCCUGGUAGUCCACGCCGUAAACGAUGAGUGCUAGUUGUUUGGGGCUAUCCAGCCCUAAGUGACGCAGCAAACGCAUUAAGCACUCCGCCUGGGGAGUACGACCGCAAGGUUGAAACUCAAAGGAAUU